AUGAACGCUAGCGGCAGGCUUAACACAUGCAAGUCGAGGGGCAGCACGAGGUAGCAAUACUUUGGUGGCGACCGGCGCACGGGUGCGUAACGCGUAUGCAACCUACCUUUAACAGGGGCAUAACACUGAGAAAUUGGUACUAAUUCCCCAUAACAUUCGAGAAGGCAUCUUCUUGGGUUAAAAACUCCGGUGGUUAAAGAUGGGCAUGCGUUGUAUUAGCUAGUUGGUGAGGUAACGGCUCACCAAGGCAACGAUACAUAGGGGGACUGAGAGGUUAACCCCCCACAUUGGUACUGAGACACGGACCAAACUCCUACGGGAGGCAGCAGUGAGGAAUAUUGGUCAAUGGACGCAAGUCUGAACCAGCCAUGCCGCGUGCAGGAAGACGGCUCUAUGAGUUGUAAACUGCUUUUGUACUAGGGUAAACGCUUCUACGUGUAGGAGCCUGAAAGUAUAGUACGAAUAAGGAUCGGCUAACUCCGUGCCAGCAGCCGCGGUAAUACGGAGGAUCCAAGCGUUAUCCGGAUUUAUUGGGUUUAAAGGGUGCGUAGGCGGUUUGAUAAGUUAGAGGUGAAUACCGGGGCUCAACUCCGGAACUGCCUCUAAUACUGUUGAACUAGAGAGUAGUUGCGGUAGGCGGAAUGUAUGGUGUAGCGGUGAAAUGCUUAGAGAUCAUACAGAACACCGAUUGCGAAGGCAGCUUACCAAACUAUAUCUGACGUUGAGGCACGAAAGCGUGGGGAGCAAACAGGAUUAGAUACCCUGGUAGUCCACGCAGUAAACGAUGAUAACUCGUUGUCGGCGAUACACAGUCGGUGACUAAGCGAAAGCGAUAAGUUAUCCACCUGGGGAGUACGUUCGCAAGAAUGAAACUCAAAGGAAUUGACGGGGGCCCGCACAAGCGGAGGAACAUGUGGUUUAAUUCGAUGAUACGCGAGGAACCUUACCCGGGCUCGAACGGCGCCUGAACCACCCAGAGACGGGUGGGUCUUCGGACAGGUGCCGAGGUGCUGCAUGGUUGUCGUCAGCUCGUGCCGUGAGGUGUCGGGUUAAGUCCCAUAACGAGCGCAACCCCUACCGUUAGUUGCCAUCAGGUCAAGCUGGGCACUCUGGCGGGACUGCCGGUGUAAGCCGAGAGGAAGGUGGGGAUGACGUCAAAUCAGCACGGCCCUUACGUCCGGGGCUACACACGUGUUACAAUGGUAGGUACAGAGGGCCGCUACCCCGCGAGGGGAUGCCAAUCUCGAAAGCCUAUCUCAGUUCGGAUCGGAGGCUGAAACCCGCCUCCGUGAAGUUGGAUUCGCUAGUAAUCGCGCAUCAGCCAUGGCGCGGUGAAUACGUUCCCGGGCCUUGUACACACCGCCCGUCAAGCCAUGGAAGCUGGGGGUGCCUGAAGUUCGUGACCGCAAGGAGCGACCUAGGGCAAAACCGGUGACUGGGGCU
rnacentral:rRNA from 1 species